AUUGAACGCUGGCGGCAGGCCUAACACAUGCAAGUCGAACGAGUGGCGGACGGGUGAGUAAUGUCUGGGAAACUGCCUGAUGGAGGGGGAUAACUACUGGAAACGGUAGCUAAUAACGCAUACCAUCGGAUGUGCCCAGAUUGGAUUAGCUAGUAGGUGGGGUAAAGGGUCACCUAGGCGAAGAUCCCUACCUGGUCUGCGAGGAUGACCGGCCACACUGGAACUGAGACACGGUCCAGACUCCUACGGGAGGCAGCAUUAGGGAAUAUUGCACAAUGGGCGAAAGCCUGAUGCAGCCAUGCCGCGUGUGUGAAGAAGGCCUUCGGGUUGUAAAGUGCUUUUAGCGGGGAAGCGUUACCCACAUAGGAAGCACCGGCUAACUACGUGCCAGCCGCCGCGGUAAUUC
rnacentral:rRNA from 1 species